rfam:Pseudonocardia sp. HH130630-07, complete genome.
CCGGCACCGGUUCACCCUGGCCCGCCAGGGACCCGGGGCC